rnacentral:rRNA from 1 species
GGCCGCGGGAAUUGGAUUCAGGCCUAACACAUGCAAGUCGAGCGGUAGAGAGAAGCUUGCUUCUCUUGAGAGCGGCGGACGGGUGAGUAAUGCCUAGGAAUCUGCCUGGUAGUGGGGGAUAACGUUCGGAAACGGACGCUAAUACCGCAUACGUCCUACGGGAGAAAGCAGGGGACCUUCGGGCCUUGCGCUAUCAGAUGAGCCUAGGUCGGAUUAGCUAGUUGGUGAGGUAAUGGCUCACCAAGGCGACGAUCCGUAACUGGUCUGAGAGGAGGAUCAGUCACACUGGAACUGAGACACGGUCCAGACUCGUACGGGAGGCAGCAGUGGGGAAUAUUGGACAAUGGGCGAAAGCCUGAUCC